GUGGCUCAGUGGUAGAGUACUUGCCUUGCAUGCAUGAAGCCCUGGGUUCGAUUCCUCAGC
rnacentral:tRNA from 1 species